AAUGGUAGUUCUGCUCUUUUCAAAAGUUCCAAAUAGCUGAUAGAGUAAUCCCACUGUUUUAGGCAAACCUUUAAUGCAAACUUCUGGACUUUUUCCAUAUCCUUGAUAAUGCAUUUUAAGUGUGGGUUCCAAACGAUUGAAGCAUACUCUAGUUUUGGUCUAAUGAAAGAUUUGUAUAAUUUCAGCAUAACAGAAGGGGGAGAAUGAGUUGCGAAGUUUCUGUGUAGCAGUCCAACAAGUUUUCUCGAUUUUUUACAAAGUGCCUUAGUGUGGGAAUGCCAAGAAAGAUCUGAUGAAAAUUGGAUUCCUAGAUAUCUGAAUGUCUCCACACGCUCCAGGGAAAAGCCAUUGACUGUAAAUGUGGGUGGCUCGAUGGACCUACUUCUCUUGUUUGAUAUUAACAUCACUUUACAUUUUGAUGCGUUGAAUUGAAGGUGUUUGCCAGACAUGAAAGCAGCAACACUGUUUAUGUCUUCCUGAAGUGUAUUGUAGUCUUUAAUCGAUUUAAUGACUCUAUAAAUAGCCAUGUCAUCUGCAAACAUAUUUAGAUGGGUGUCGCUUGAGACUACAUCAGAGACAUUAUUAAUGUACAUGAUAAAGAGCAAUGGGCCUAAGACUGAUCCUUGAAGCACACCUGACAUAGCAUGGAGAGUGGUAGACGCUUGCCCAUUCACAACUACAAAUUGCUCUCUCUUCAAUAGGUAACUUUUAAGCCACUUCAAGAGGUAGCUGUUUAUUUCAAGUAGUGGUAAAUGUGGUACUGUAUCAAAUGCCUUACGUAUGUCCAGAAAAACAACAGCAACCUCACUUUUGUUGUCAAUAGCUUUGCUCCAAUCAUCCACAACUUGUAUUAGUGCAGACACAGUUGAUUGUGCACGCAUAAAUCCCCACUGCCUUGUUGAGAUUGGGCAAUGUUGUAUCAGAUGUUCCUCAAGUAUUGACUUAACAUGUUUCUCUAGGAGCUUGCUCGCUGAGGGCAAGAUGGAAAUGGGUCUAUAAUUAGACAAAAGCUUUGCGUUACCACCCUUGGGGACUGGGACCACUCUUGCUCUUUUCCAUUCUGAGGGAAAUUCACCCGUACUGAGUGAGUGGUUGAAUAUAUUCGCAAGUGGUAGUGAGACCGAGUUUGCCAUUGAUUUCAACAUUCUGGGUGUAAUAUUGUCAGUGCCACAUGACUUGUUUGCCUUCAAUGAUUUCAGGAGUAUCUCCACUUUGUCCUCAUUGCAGAGUAGCUCUUCGGGGCAAUCAGAGGGCACUAGAUCACCAAUUAGGUCUUCCAUAUCACACGGUUGCAGAGCAGGAUAACAAUGGUUAAAGGUUGAGUAAAAGUACUGAUUUAGAGCUUCAGCCUUAGAUUCAGCAGUCUCUAGAGUUACCCCAUUGGCUUGCAGAGUAGGGACUGAUUGCUCACUGUUGUUUAUGACUUUAACAGUUUUCCAGAAUAUUUUGCUAUCUUUUGAGCUGAGUUGGGCCAUGUAAUCUUUUUUACUCUUACGUAACAAGGAAAGGACUCGUGGGGAUAGAUAUUCCCCUCAGGGCCAAGUACAUUCGCACCAUGUUUGCAGAGAUUACAAGAAUCCUGAACCAUUGUCUGGCAGUGGCCUGUCAGAUCAUGGACGUGGGUGCCACGACGCCAUUCCUCUGGUGGUUCGAGGAGAGAGAGAAGGUACCAACUUAUGUUUGAUUCCUCUGGUUUUUGUAUUUCCUCAUGUCAGUGGGAGCUUGGGACAGCUUGGCUAGGCUAAAAAGGGAGUUCCUUUUCCUAAUUGCCCUUGAGAUUUCUCUGCUCAGCCAAGGAAGUGAAGGUUUAGCGUUCGAUAGUUUGUGGGGGAUUGACAUCUCCAUUAUUUGUAGGAAGAGCGAUUUCCAGUUUGAGAUGGAUAUGUUAAUAUUUUCUAUGUUCAGCUCUUCAUCCCAGUCUAUUGUGUCCAUAAGCUCCAUUGCACGGGAAAAAUCUGCUGAAUCUUAGAUCAUGUUUGUCAUAAAUACUGCAAUCUGAUUGGUUAGAGGAAAUGUUCUAUCCAAUUUAGAAAAUCAUGUACUUCAAUAGAAAAUCAUGUACUUCAAUAGAAAAUCAUGUAGCAAAGAUUUGAUCAAGAUAAGAUAAUAAUCAUAAUAAAAGUACAAAUAAUAAUAAUAAUAAGCAAUACUUGACGUCAAUGAGUGUUUCUUUGGUAUUGUUUCCUUUCUUGCUUGUUCUACUUCUUUACUUGACUUUGGGGGAGCGAAUUUUCUUGCUUUCUUUGCCACUGGAGCAGUAAGUAGGUUCUCACUGGCUGUGGAGGAGAGCAAAUAGUCUACGAACCUUCGUCUUGCAGGUCAGAGAGAGCAGAGAGCAGAUAGGAAGGUGGGGCUGGUUGCUGCAGCAGAUAUGGAGGUGGGGCUGGUUGCUGCAAAGACAGAGCUGGAGGUGUGGCUGGUUUGGAACGAAACCGUGUAAUAGGGGAACUCAAGAAAGCGUUCGGCACAGGAGGAGGCUCAGAAUCCAUUGUUUGCGUGUGGUGAGAUCGCGUGUCACUUUCAGUGUCGUGUUGUCGAACCAAGGAUCGUGGUGUUUUAUGAAGACGACUGCAUUGUGCAAGCUUUUCUGUGUGCUGAGGGAGUCAGCAUCUUUGAAAUAGACACAAUUACCUUAUCCGAUUGCCUGAUCGUGCUGAUGGCUGCGUAUUAUGUGUUCGACGUACAGUACCCAAGUGUCUGGAAGCCUUCUCUCCUCUUUUUCCAGGAAAUCUUAAUGGAAAAAGAGACAAGGCCCAUUCGGUACACUAUACCUACUUGAAAAAACUUGGUGUUUGACUUAUUACUAUAUAAUUAUAUAAGUUAUGUUUUGUUUUAUUGUGUACAGUGGACUUUCCAUUCAAAUGGUAUUUUGCAAUAC